AUGGUGCAUAUGAAUCAAGGACAAGGGGAAACAAGCUAUGCACACAACUCCAGUAUCCAGAACGCUCAGCAGAACAGGAUGAAGCCCCUGAUAGAAGCGGCCAUCAUUGACUUGUGCGGCAGCAGAAGCACCUUGUUCCCCGAAAAGAUGCUGAUUGCGGACUUGGGCUGCUCUUAUGGCCCAAAUGCACUAGCACUGGUAUCGACUGCCGUCAAGGCCAUCAUCAACCAUUGCCUUCAGUUCCAGCAACCACCACCCGAAGUGUGUGUGCUCCUCAAUGAUCUUCCUGACAAUGACUUCAACACGGUGGUGAAGAGCCUGGUCACGCUCCGUCAAAAUAACAACAAGCUUGUUGUUGUGACCGGUGUAGCACCGGGGUCAUUUUACGAGAGGCUCUACACUAGUGACUCCUUGCAUCUUGUCUGCUCGUCCAACAGCUUGCAUUGGCUCUCCAUGGCUCCCGAAGAUCUGACGAUGAACCAGAUCCCUGCGUACGACAUGGAUGAGCAUGCUAGGCGUGAAAGACUCCCUAUGAGGCUUAUGCACGUCAGUUCAGGAAAGAUUUCAUACUUUUCCUGGAGCUGA
rnacentral:rRNA from 1 species